UACGGGGGGGGUAAGCGUUGUUCGGAAUUACUGGGCGUAAAGGGCUCGUAGGCGGCCAACUAAGUCAGACGUGAAAUCCCUCAGCUUAACUGGGGAACUGCGUCUGAUACUGGAAGGCUUGAAUCCGGGAGAGGGAUGCGGAAUUCCAGGUGUAGUGGUGAAAUGCGUAGAUAUCGGGAGGAACACCAGUGGCGAAGGCGACUUCCUGGCCUGUUCUUGACGCUGAGGCGCGAAAGCUAGGGUAGCAAACGGG
rnacentral:rRNA from 1 species